GCCUGGGUGGCUCAGUCAGUUAAGCAACUGACUUCGGCUCAGGUCAUGAUCUCAUGGUUCGUGGGUUCAAGCCCCACAUUGGGCU
rnacentral:tRNA from 1 species